GAAGGCCUCAUGGGACAAGCAUUCGGGCACCCGGAACAGAGAUGGUGCUGCCCUGAGGCAGGAACACGCCCAGUGGCUGAGAAACCCGAAAGGAGGCCACAGAGGCUGGAGCCAGGAGAGACAGGGACACUGGAAGGAAAUGAGGUAAGGACCUCAGGAGCACCGGGGGCAGCCAUGCUCUGCCCAGCCCCAAGAGGGCGCCAAUCACACAGACCAUGACAACCGCUGCCCUGAAGCUGUGACACACAGAGAGGUCGCGAGUUCUACUUAAAAGAAAAAAAUCAGCUCUGUCUCUCUUGCUGUCACAUUUCAUGGGCCACCAAGGCUGCUGCCGCCCAGGGCGCCUCCCCAGCCCUGGCGAGUCCCCGACGGCCCGGCCCAGGGCAGCUGCCGGUGACUCAGGCGGGAAGAGGAUUCUCUGGAAGUUCCCGGUGAGAAAGGGAAUCUGAGCUCUGUGCGCAGGGCCCGGGAGGAGCCCGGGUGACGCUGGCUUGUGUCAGCGCACCCCUGGGGGCAGCGGGCACCUCGGUGUGCCCUCUCCUGCCCGGGCCUGCGGAGGGCGGGGCCUCCACACCCUGCACCGAGGCUGGCAGAUGGAGGCUGGUGGAUCGAGGCUGGCGGAUGGAGGCCGUGCAUCUGGGAGGAGGCCGCCCUGGGCUCGGGAUAAACAGGGCAGGACCUGAGGAGCCAGCGCCCGGCUCCAGGACUGUCCCUGAGCUCCCUGCUCCAGGUGGUCACCCCAGCCCGGCCACAGGAGGCUCAGGGCAGAGAAGCAGCACAGGGAGGGGCUGGUUCAGUGGCUGCUGUCCCCUGAGCCUGGCCACAUCGUCCCCAUCUUCUGG